UAUUUUUUAAUUUUACAUAUGUAGUGUCAUGCUAGCAUUAUUGCUUACGUAUAAAUGCGAGUGUGUUUUACAUUUAUAUAAUGCCUUUAAUUUUAACCUCUGCAUUUUCACUAAUGCCUUUAAUUAUCCUCUGUUUUACAUGUCAGUUACGACACAAAAGCUUCAUAGAAAAAGUAUCAGCUUUUGACUCAAAUUUCGACCGUGCCCCUAUCAUUUCCGAAAAUCAAAGCAACCCCAAGCAAUUCCAGAAUCAUUUUUAUGCGUCUCAAAAUCCAUGAUGUUGCAGCAAAGGAAAUAUCAGACACGACUCUUAUUCCAAAGGCUCCAACCAGAAAUGUAUCAGAUUCCCCAAUCAUUUCUGAAACCAUAUUUAUGGCUGCAAAACAGACAUCGUGCGGGCAUCUCUUACUAGUUAAUCUCUAAAAAGUGAUAGAGAUAGGUGUAACGGGGCAAGAACUUUUUGAAGUCAAGUCUUCAACUUUUGAAGUCAAGUGCAUCGUAUCUUCUACAUGCGUAAAAGAGGCUCUUGACUAAUUGAUUUGUGAGUUAAUUUUUGAAGUCAAGUCUUCAACUUUUGAGAUGGCGUGAAAUUAGAAGUUAGACAAAUGAGCAGCACCAUAAAAGAAAAAAGAAAAAAUUUGCACACACAUAGUUAAUCUCAUGAGUUCCUUCUGUAAGGGUUUAUGAUAUUUGUAUUGACACUCUUGUAAGGUUUUAUCAUAUUUGUAUGCCCAAUUGCAAGACUAAUCCAAACUUUGUAUUUGGGUACUUCUAAAUGUGUUGGACCUUCAUGCUUGAAAUCUUCAUUAAAAUAUGUGUAAUUUGUAU